rnacentral:sRNA from 1 species
GGCCACCAGAGCUUGGUGAAUAUUGGAACACCUGGCUGGUGCCCUGGAUUUGGUUCUGUUUGUAUCUUACAGCUAUGGGAUGAUGACUUGGGAGCACUAUGGGCCUGCCCCAUGGACAAAUACAUCCACAAGCGCUGGGCCCUCGUGUGGCUGGCCUGCCUACUCUUUGCCGCUGCGCUUUCCCUCAUCCUCCUUCUCAAAAAGGAUCACGCGAAAGGUGAGCGCUUCCCGGCUCCCCAUUCCCCUGGGGGAGGACCAGAGUGGCUGUGGGAGUUAUCCGAGGGAAAGCGGCGGCCGAGCUCACUGGCUGCCUCCGCCCCUCUCCCCUAACAGGGUGGCUGAGGCUCUUGAAACAGGACGUCCGCUCGGGGGGUGAGUGGGAGCAAGCGCUGGGCGGAGGGCCGCCCCCGGGGGGCCAGGCCUGUGCCAGCUCACCUCUUCCCUCCCCAUCUGUUUUCUCCGGCAGCGGCCG